rnacentral:rRNA from 1 species
UACGGGGGGGGCAAGCGUUGUUCGGAAUUACUGGGCGUAAAGGGCUCGUAGGCGGCCAACUAAGUCAGACGUGAAAUCCCUCGGCUUAACCGGGGAACUGCGUCUGAUACUGGAUGGCUUGAAUCCGGGAGAGGGAUGCGGAAUUCCAGGUGUAGCGGUGAAAUGCGUAGAUAUCUGGAGGAACACCGGUGGCGAAGGCGGCAUCCUGGACCGGUACUGGACGCUGAGGUGCGAAAGCGUGGGGAGCAAACAGGG